AUUCUAUAUCUAAUCCUUGUUCAUUUAUUUCUCAUUUUGUUUUGGCCCACCCAUUUCAUUUAAAAUAUCUUUGUAUCUACUAACACUUCCCAUUUUACAAACAUUUUGAUAUACAAGUGCUUCAAUUGUGGAUAUACAAGUGCUUCCAUUGUGGUAUCUUCAUAUAGUGUUGCUCCCUAGUUUUCCCCCAUAUAUGUAACAAUGUAUCCCUGAUGACAUGUCUUUGAAAAUACCUAUGUGUUUUCCCUUUUCUAUACCAUAAAAAUGCAUGAUACCCCAUUUGUAAAUCAUGCCCUUCCAACGUUAAAACACGAGGAGGCGGACCU